AACGGCCAUACCAUGCUGAAUAUACCGGUUUUCGUUAGAUCACCGAAGUCAAGCAUCAUUGGGCGCGGUCAGUACUUGGGUGGGUGACCACCUGGGAACACCGCGUGCCGUU
rnacentral:rRNA from 2 species